rnacentral:lncRNA from 1 species
GCAGGUUUCUUCUUUCUGGAUCAGAAGACUUCAGUCUGGUGUAAAUCUAAAUGGAACAACAUAUGGUCAGAGAUCAUACCACGGAUCAUUGGUUCUAGCAUAAAAGAAUCCUGCAAAGUCAAGCUACAAACACAAAUUUGGGCUGGAUAUAUGAAAGUUCAAAUUCAAAUGAUGAGCUGAUUGAUGGAAUUUAUUUGCCAUGAAGUCAGACCAUGGUUUAAUCUAGGAGGGAAAACCUGUGACAUUUUAUUACACAUUUUAUUUCGAUCACGUAUUUAUCAUAUAUCAAAAUAUGUCCAUGGUUGAUGUGUUGAAUUUUACAAAUCACAUACAUAUAAACUACUUCAGAGAAGCUGCCCCAAAAUAAUGGAGAAUUUGCACUGCGUCUUUGUGACACGUUUUUUUGUUACAUACGAAGCCACUGGAGGAGGUGUGCAGGCACUGGAAAAAUCAAGUUUGGCAGGCCAAACAUAAAUAUACAUUCAAAUACACAUAAGUACAUUUCUACAAAUAAUUUUCUCAGUGGAGAACAAGGAGAUAAAACCAGGAUGUGAGAUAUGAGAUAUACUACUUACCAGCCAGACAUCCAGCAAAUACGUUGUAGUCUUUUUGAGGAUUACAGACGAAAACUCCUUAUGCGCUGUUUCCAUUCCCUUGUGGGGAAGAGCACUACAAAGACUGGCUCUGCUAUAUCAUCUGGGAACAAAGACAAGACACUCCCACUUCUUGCUAUCUCUCACUCAAAACUAAACUCAGGUGGAAAUAUCAUUCCUUGUGUAUUGCUUUGAUUAGUGGGAUGAUAUUGGGUCCAGGGCUAAAUGCUUAAAUACUUUAAUACAUAUUUUUUAAAGCAUUGGAUUUACUGGAACUCUUUUCUCCUGACUAUUAAUAUGAGUAUAAUGGUCCCGAUUGUUUUGUCACAUCUAUGCUACACAACCGGAGCCUACAUUUGAACUGAGGCUGACUUUAAUUAUCGAAUUAACACAAUUUCAUGGUUGAUAUGCUUCUUUCUCACCUCUGGGCUUUAUAUUUACUGGUCUGCUGUGAUCUUUUUGCCUAUUGGUGCAAGAAGAAAUUAAUGCAUUUUCUUGUUGCUCAUGCGUUACUAUCCAGAACAAUUACAAAUUAAAUUUUACCUAAAGAAAUAUAGUCCUGGAUCAGAACUUUUUCUUACAGCUCCUUACAUUUAAAAAUAAACGAAACCUUUCAUUAAACA